AAGCAAAUUUAAACUUAAUUCUUAAUUACUAACACCACACAGAACAAUCCGACUCUAGUUCAGCCAUUAUGCCAAGACCUCAACGCAUGCUUUUGUGUCUAAAAUUUUCCUAAAGUACCCCCCAUACUUUAAAUACUCACAAUCUUCAUAAACACUCGCCCACUUUUUCCGAACAAUGCUCAUUUUAUGCAACCCUCCGAAUCCAUCCGCAGAAAACCUCCUUAUCCUCAAGGUAUUUUUAGUUGAGCAACCUAAGCAUACAUAAUCUAGAAUUACAAUUAUCGAUACCACUAUGGAGCUCUUUUGGAAUUCUUCAUUUCUUUGACAUUUGAUCUCUUUGAAUUCACCACCUUAUUUGAUUUAAUUUCUGGUAUCUUCAACUUUUGAAUUUCUUGGAAUUUUGAUCUUUUGAUCUUCACUUUAUUUGCUCCAAAAUUCUUCACACUUUACUCGUAAUUCUUUUUUUUUUAACAUGUACCUCACUUUUUUCACUCAAAACCUACAUGCUUAAGCAGAGGCGCUCAACCUCA
rnacentral:lncRNA from 1 species